AUUGAACGCUGGCGGCAGGCCUAACACAUGCAAGUCGAACGAGCGGCGGACGGGUGAGUAAUGUCUGGGAAACUGCCUGAGGGAGGGGGAUAACUACUGGAAACGGUAGCUAAUACCGCAUACCAUCAGAUGUGCUCAGAUGGGAUUAGCUAGUAGGUGGGGCAAUGGCUCCCCUAGGCGACGAUCCCUAGCUGGUCUGAGAGGAUGACCAGCCACACUGGAACUGAGACACGGUCCAGCCUCCUACGGGAGGCAGCUGUGGGGAUUAUUGCACAAUGGGCGCAAGCCUGAUGCAGCCAUGCCGCGUGUAUGAAGAAGGCCUUCGGGUUGUAAAGUACUUUCAGCGAGGAGGCGUUACUCGCAGAAGUAGCACCGGCUAACUCCGUGCCAGCAGCCGCGGUAAUUC
rnacentral:rRNA from 1 species